rnacentral:rRNA from 1 species
UACGUAGGGUGCGAGCGUUGUCCGGAAUUAUUGGGCGUAAAGAGCUUGUAGGCGGUUUGUCGCGUCUGCUGUGAAAUCUCAAGGCUCAACCUUGAGCUUGCAGUGGGUACGGGCAGACUAGAGUGUGGUAGGGGAGACUGGAAUUCCCGGUGUAGUGGUGGAAUGCGUAGAUAUCGGGAGGAACACCAGUGGCGAAGGCGGUUGCCUGGAGCUUUGCUGACGCUGAGGCGCGAAAGCGUGGGGAGCGAUCCGG